GUCCCCUGGACACAAGUGAGAGCGCACAUGUCUCUUCACCCGUAUUGUUCGUCAGUCUGUAUUUCUGUAUAUGUACAAAGCAUCUACUAUUCAAAGAUACGAUCCAAUUGUUACUGUGCACUUAAAAUCCCGCUACAGUGAACAGUGCAGAGUUCCAGAUGUUACUGUGCACUUAAAAUCCCGCUACAGUGAAUAGUUUAAAGAUUUUUGUAUAUAAACCGAGAGGAAGACUCAGACUCCUCAGGUUUUUCAUUUCUCAUUUUUCAGAGCUUCUCUCUCUACUUCUCCUCCUUCUCUCUAAAAAUCUCUCUCCGAAGGGUUCCAAAGAAAUUUUCUGUUUACACAAUAGUUCUAUCUCAGAGCUUUGAGUGAUCAAACUAGUUCUUUACCUUCAAUCUUCCCGUCUUUCAAUCUUCCCUUCUGGAAAGAUUUGAAAAUUUGUAAAAGCCAGAAAGCAAAAAUGUAUGCUUAAAUUCAGUUCUUUAAAUUUCAAUGUAAUUUAAAUUUUUGCAAUUUAUUUUAAAGCAUUUACUUUUCUGCAAUUUAAUUUUAUGCACAUUUAAAUUCCAGCAAUUUAUUUUAAAGCAUUUUUCUUUUCAAAGCAUGUUUGCAGACUGAUCUGUAUCAGAUCUGCCAUAUAAAUUCUACAUUCCUCUGAGGCAAAGAGACCGGAUCUCGAUCCUCAGUUGUAAAUCUUCUCUUCUUCCUCCAUUCCUUCAGAGCACCAUUUCCGGGAUCCGGAUCUGGUACUGUGUAUGUACCCAAACCUUUAAAAGAACCUAAUUUAAAUCUGAUAAUAGCCCAAUAAAAAGAAUCAACCACGUUUAAAGUAACUUAACUUUAUUUGGUAAAAUAAAACUAAGUUGGUAUAUCGGCUGGAAACCCGAACGUGCGGACUAUUGAUCUGUUCUAAGUCAGAUCUGGGUCCAAAGGCUUCACUUUGUGUAGCAUCGAUCUGGUUUAACAACGCCACGUACCAAUUAGUUAUUAAAAAUUUGACUAACCGCGUUCAAAUUUGUUUGAUCACUGUAUGACCCAAAGAACUCCAUAAUCAAAGCUGGUAAUUUAUUAUUUUAAAAUUUGGAAAAGCCGAUCCAUUAAUUGUUUAAUUAGAGUUUUUAAUAUUGAAAUCCUACGAAAGCACAUCCAUCCUUCGAUCCUAUUUCCUUCUGGUA
rnacentral:lncRNA from 1 species